rnacentral:tRNA from 1 species
UCGAUAUUGUAGUUGUCAGUCUGGAUCAGCACGUAACCCUGAUGACCGGCAAUCAUCGGGCCAACCACUAUCCCCGC